rnacentral:lncRNA from 1 species
CCUUAUAUUUUAUUGGCACAUGAUUUGACAAGUACGAGCUCACAUUUGUUACUAAAAAUAUUCUUUUGGAUACAUUGGUAGUUCUUUUCUUGAUACAAAGGUCUUUUAAAAAUUUAGCAUAGGUCAGAACUUGUUUAAUCAUGUUUAAAAGAGGGAUAUUCACUUGGACUUGCUUAAACACCUCUAAAAUUUUAUCCAAAUAU